rnacentral:lncRNA from 1 species
UCAGAAUAUAAGCAGGGAUAAGCAGGAAAUUACUCUCUUCUGCUUCCUCAUUCUCUCUUCUCUGGAAGCCUCCAUGUGAUCCCAACAAGAGAGGAUGCUUGCCGACAGCAUCCUCCAUCAGAUAAGUCUAUAAAAUAUAUAGAGUAAUAAAUAUGGUUAAUACUUAUGACAGAGAUAGCAGAUAAAAAAAUCCUAGUCAUUGGCCAGCAACAUUGUAAAUAAUAUCAAUCUCUGUGUGUUAUUUCAGGUGCCCACGUGGCAGUGGGUCUCGGGUGGCUUACUGGAAAGAUUUAUUGGUACAUGAGUGUGCUACCCUUUUAAAAGUAAAGUUGAUUCACAUUUGUGAUUGACUCUUUUAACUCUUUAUUUAAAAAUUUUAAGUGUGUAGGUCUGGUGAGGAUAUCAUCUGGCUAAGACUUUUUACUCCUUCAUAAACUAUGAGCUAAAAUGAUCCCAACUGUUUUAUUGUUGUCUUCUUUUCCUGAACUGCCAGAAUCUAAGCCACUUGAUUUUUUCCUUAUGGAAUCAAAGUUUCACUCCAGGAUUAAAAUCGACAUCCUUGUAAUGCUGAUGACUACCUUCAGUGCCAUCAUGGAGCCUUCACCCAAGUAGCUGAUGGAAGUAGAAGUAGAGAUUCACAGUUAAGCACUGAGCUGAACUCCUGGAAUCCAGUUACAGAGAGAAAGGUGUGAUGAGCAAAGGGGUCAAGACCAUGCUGGGGAAACCAACAGAACCAGCUGACUUGAGCAAGUGGAAGCUCAUGGACCUCAGACUGAUAACUGGGAAACCAGUAUAGGACCAAACCAGGCCCCCUGAAUGUGGGUGUCAGUUAGGGGAUUUGGACAGUCUAUGGAGCCUCUGGCAGUGGAACCAGAACCAGUAUUUAUCCCUAGUACAUGAAUGGGCUUUGGGACCCCAUUCCUAUGGAAGGAUACUCUCUCAGCCUAGAUAUAUGGGGAAGGGCCUAGGUUCUGCCCCAAAUGAUGUGACGGAUUUUGAUUAUCCCCUAUGGGAGGCUUCACCGUCUCUGAGGAGUGGAAUGGGGGGAUGUUGGGAGAAUGGGAGGAUGGAAGGGAG